rfam:Myotis davidii contig36304, whole genome shotgun sequence.
AGAGGCCCUCCGCUGCCAGGGUGGAAUGCUUGCCUUGUCGCUGUGGCAACAAAGCAAGCAUUCCACCAGGCCGCUCAUGCUGCCCGC